rnacentral:sRNA from 1 species
UUAAUAAAAUAUAUAUAUAAAAUUUGGUUUAUUUUACGAUAUAUUUGGGUUUAUUUUAAAUAUUAAAAUGGGGUAAAUUGUUUAAAUUUAAUUUUUUAAUUUUAGGAAUUAUUAUAAUUAACCGCAACCGUUAAAAUAUUUUAAAAAAAUAAAAAUAUUAUUUUGGGGUGGGAUUCGUCGCUAUUAAAUUAUUUAUUAACCAACGUUUUUGCAACGGGUGGAAUAAAUAAUCCGACGGCGACGUUAUAUAUAACCGUUAUUCCAAUUAUUUGCAAAAUACGGUAAAAGGCAAAACAAUUAUAAAAUUAUUAUCCGUAAUAUAAUCGGGUUUUUUUCCAUUUAUAUUUUAUCGUUUUUUUAUUUGUUUGCAAUAUUUAUUAAUCCAAUAAUCGGGUAAUUUUUCGGGCGUUUCCGUGGUUACCGGGUAUAUUAUUUCCCCAAACGUAUUUUAUAUUGCAAUAUUAAAUAUUAUAUAUUACCCACCGUAAAAUUUUUUUUUACGUAUUUAUUCCAAAAAAAAUAAUAGCGCGUUUUGGUAAUAUUUAUUAUUAUAUUAAACGUCCUGGCCGCGUUAUUAUUUUUUAUAUAUAUUACGGUAAAAACGGCAAAUAUAUUAUUUUUUAUUAAAAAUAUUAAAAUAAACGCGCGUUCCAAUUUGUAAUUAUUAAUUAUAAUAUUUAUAUAUAAUAUAAUAGGUUAAAUAACCCGUUAUUAUACUUAAAUUAAUGGAAUAAAAAGGCGUAUUGCGGGAUUCGAAUUAUUAUAAAUAAUUUUCCUAUUAUUCCGUUUUGGAUUUUUUUUGGGGGAAAAUAAUAAUUAUAUAUUAAUUUUUUUAUAUAUAAUUAUAAUGUUAAUAUUAUAAAAGGUUAAUGGAAAUAUUUAUUGCAAUUCGCCGUAUUAAACGUAUAUUUUUUAAUAAUUUAAUAUAUAUAAAAAGGACGGGGAACGGCCAAAAUUUAUACGCCCGUUUUUUUAUAAAAUUGCGUUUAAUUCGACAAUUUGGUUUUCAAUUUCGCGUUAUUUACGUGCGUUUUAAUAAUUAUAAUAUUUAUUAUUUAAUUCGUUAUUUUUUAUUCCGCCGUUUUGCGGUUUGGAUAUAUAAUUAAUUAUUCGGUUGCGAAAAAAUAUUUAUAUUUACGUUUCUGUAUUUUAACGCCCGUUUUUAUUAAAUAUAAAAAUCGUAAUUUUUUAACCCGCGUUUGUAAAUUUUCGGAAAUUUAUUUAAAAAAUAAUCGCUAUAUUAUUUAAAUUAUACGCGAAAUUAUUAAAUAGGAAAAUAUUCCAAUAUAUUAUUUUUCGAUUAAACGCAAUUGUAAAAAUAAAUAAACGUUUUGGCAAAAAUGGUAAUUUUUUUAUAUAAUAACGUUAUUUGGAAAAAAAAAUUAUAUAAUUUUCGCGGGUUUGGGAAAAAUGUAAUUAUUAUAAAAUAAAUACCCCAUUUAUCCAAUUAUUUUAAUAUAAAAGUUUUUUUAAUAUAUUUUUUCGACGUUUUAUAUAUUUGUUUUUUCGGAAAUAAAAUAAAUAAAACCUCGAUUUUAUAAUAAUAAACGUUGCAAUAAUUUUGGCGGUAAUUAAUUAUAAUAAAUCGAUUCGGUUUUUGUAAAAAAUUUAAAAUAGCGCGUCGAAAAUAAAUAACGUUGGCGAAAUUAUAUAUAUUUGGUAUUUGUUUUUUUAAAUCUUUUUUAUUUGUUUUUUUCCGUACCGUUUAAUAGGGCGGAAUAUAUAAUUUAAAUAUAUUAAAUGGGUUUAUUUGGUUGAAUUCCGCGGUUUUUACGCGGUUAUUAUCGUUUAAAUUUGGUUCGGUUAAAAAUGGGAAAUUAAUGGGAAAUAAUUUUGUUUAAAAAUACGUUAAAAAUUUAAUUGGGUGGUUUGGAAAUUAUUAACAUAUUUGCGUAAUAUAACGAAUUAUUUACCAAUUUUAAUUAUAAUUUUUGGUUUAAUGGGUUUAUAUUUGGUUUUCGAAUUUUGGGUAUUAAAAUAUUAAUAAAACGUAAAAAAAUAUACGGUAUUAUUAAAAUUGGAUCCGCGUGCGGUUUUUCCAAAUUUUUACCACAAAUUUGCAAAAUUAUUUAAUAUUAACGUUUUAAAUUAUAUUAUACGUUUAACGUCGGAAAUAUUUAUAUUUAUAUCCAAAAAUAAAAUCGCAAAUAUAAUGCGGGUUUUGGAAUUCGGUUUAGAAAAUUUUUUGUAAAUUUUGGUUUUAUUAAUUUUAAAUAUAAACGAAUUGUAUUAAAUAAUAAUAUUAAUAAUAUAUAAUUAAU